rnacentral:rRNA from 1 species
AGAGACUGCAAGUACCAUGAGGGAAAGAUGAAAAGGACUUUGAAAAGAGAGUUAAAAGUGCCUGAACUCNCGGGGGGGGGGGGGGGGGGUNAAAGGAAAGCGGAUGGAACCAGUCGUGCUUGGCGAGAUUGUUGCGUGCAAAGGUGACUGCUCACUGCUCGUAGCGUAAGCGCAGCAGCGGGUUUCGAUCUGGUCGCGCGCGAUGCUUCUUGCCUUGUUCGUCAUCGUUGGUUUGGAGGCGCGGACAACUCUUGGGACAUGGUAACUCGCCCACGGGCGAGCGAAUGUGCCUUGCAGAACUCACCUCCAAACUGAUGUCUCUUGUUAGGUUCUGUUGCCGUACGCGGCACGUUCUUGACAAAGCGUGGUGACAGAAUGGUUCUAUUCGACCCGUCUUGAAAACACGGACCAAGGAGUCUAACAUAUGUGCAAGUACUUGGGUGACGAAACCUAUGUGCGCAAUGAAAGUGAGUGCUGAGAUGCUUGCAUCAGCAGCCGACCAAUCAAUUGGGA